UACGUAGGGGGCUAGCGUUGUCCGGAAUCAUUGGGCGUAAAGAGCGCGUAGGCGGCCAGAUAAGUCCGGUGUGAAAGUCAAAGGCUCAACCUUUGAAUGCCGCUGGAAACUGUCUGGCUAGAGUCCGGAAGAGGCGAGUGGAAUUCCUGGUGUAGCGGUGAAAUGCGCAGAUAUCAGGAGGAACACCUACGGCGAAGGCAGCUCGCUGGGACGGUACUGACGCUGAGACGCGAAAGCGUGGGGAGCAAACAGG
rnacentral:rRNA from 1 species